rnacentral:lncRNA from 1 species
AGGGAUGCUGUGUUCAAUCUUUUUGUGGCUGGGAGAGAUACCUUAACUUCAGCUCUCACAUGGUUCUUUUGGCUUGUUGCUACAAACCCUUUAGUGGAAGACAAGAUUGUUGAAGAGAUGAAUGAAAAGCUUGGAAGCAAUGAGAAGACAGUUUUAAGUGCAGAGGAGGUGAAAAAGCUGGUUUAUCUACACGGUGCUAUAUGUGAAUCAUUGAGGCUGUUUCCUCCCAUACCCUUCCAACGCAAGGAAGCACUUAAAGCUGACGUGCUUCCUAGUGGUCAUGGUGUUAAUCCCAACACAGUUAUACUUUUUUGUUUGUAUUCAAUGGGGAGAUAUGAGGAAAUAUGGGGAAAAGAUUGCAUGGAGUUCAAGCCAGAAAGAUGGAUAUCAGAAAAAGGAGGUAAUGUUUAUGUACCAUCUUACAAAUUCAUUGCUUUCAAUGCAGGACCAAGAACUUGCUUGGGGAAAAACUCGUCCUUUGUUCAAAUGAAGAUGGUGGCAACUGCAAUUUUGCACAAGUAUCAUGUCGAAGUGGUGGAAGGUUGUAUUGUUAAGCCAAACCUUUCAAUCGUUCUUCUGAUGAAGGAUGGUUUAAAGGUUAAGAUAAGAAAAAGAGAAACUUAAUUUGAGUUACGUGGGAAUUUCUGUGACAGAUUGUAUAAUAAAUCUUAUUACGAGGAAAUGUGUUGGUUAAGAGUUACUUUAAUGAUAAAAGUAGCUUGUUGUUUUAUUAACAAUGAUAUAUUAAAGCUUAAUUUUGAGACUGACGUGAUGUUUUAUUUUUGAGUUAGAAUUUUUUUCUUUUUAAGUUACUGACUUGGAAUUUGCGAGUUUGAAAAACAAAACAAAAAUUGCUUUUUUUGAAUGACAUGACUUCACAUGUUAAAGAACGAUUAAUGUUGCUUCUGUUGCUGUUCCUUUUUUGUGUGCUUGCUCUUUUAAAUCCUGUUUUUUUGUUCUUUUGCUGUGUCUUCGAUUGAACAAAGCAUAGAAAAAAAAAUUUAGAUGUCCUGUGCGAGUAACGACGAAGUCCUUCUUUUUUUUUUUUCACCAUCAUUAACUCAACUUUUCUAAAUUUAUCUAUGAUUCUUUUUCAUGGCCUAAUCUAUCAUAAUUCAUAAUUAACAUUAAAUACUUUCGUUGGAUCCUGUUUUUGCAUAAUAUUUAAAUGAGAACAAGUUUGCUACAUAAGUGAGGAGUAACACAACAUUUUGUUUAGUAGUUUAACAAAAUUUCAUUCGCUAAAACUUUUAACAACAACCAAACUAAUGGGAUUUAAUUCAUAUUUAUCACAAAGAUUAUCAUAUUAAUCAUGCAAAAACAUAAAGUAGUUGAAUAUGAUAAUAUGUUUCUAAAAAAAAUUGUCAAAACUGAUAUGAAAGAGAAAUGGGGAAUUAUGAACAAAUAAGUGGAUAACACUGAUGAAUUUUUGUACAUGUUUAAUAAAAUGUAAUCCAAUGAAAAUGGUAAAAACAACAAGUGAGAUGUAAUUUAUAUCUAUCGUGAAGGUUAUUAAGGUGAUCAUAUAAGAACAUAAAAUGGUUAAAUAUGUCAAGCUUCUCUUGUCGAGCUGGCCGAGCUUCUCUCCUGCCAACUUUAUUGAGCUUGCAAGUUUUAGUCAAUUUCUCUCCUGUCAAAUUUAGCCAAAUUUCUUUUCUAUUUAAAUUAUCGAAAUUCUCUUUUAUUUAAAUUACUAAGGUUUGCUCCUAUCACGCUUUUCGAGCUUCUUUCUUAUCGAGUAGAAACAAUAGACAAAAUAACUAUAUGACUUUGUUUUGAACCGAACUUCUCUCCAUCACUAGGGAUUUUUGAUUUCAAACUUCAAAUUUAAACUUUCAAGUCAAAUAUUUUCUUGUGGUAUGAUGUUGUUUAUGGCUUGAAGUACAAUUUUAAACUUUGUUUAUAUUGUUCUUAUUUAGAUUUUUGACUAAAAACAACAACUUUUGGAGUUUGUAAUAUUUGAUUAUUAAAGUACUAAUGGUAAUAGGUUUGGACAAGCCACCAACUGAUAGGUUGUGAGCGGAUCCAUAUAGUCAGCCAUUGAAGAUAAUUAAAAGUUAAUUAAUGGGAUAACAGUCAUUGAUCGACGGUUAACAAAUAUAUUAACAACUAUUAAUGGUCAAUUAAUAGGAUAAAUUGUCAUAAGCUCUAUAAAUACAUGUUUGACAUGGAAAUAAACACACUUUUUUCAUGAUUUAAUUCUAUAGACCUUUUUAUGAAACAUAUCUAAUUUCAAUGUUAUUUUGUAAGUCAAAUUCUUGAAACAUCAAUUGAUUCUAGAAAGAAAAUUAAGAAGUGUGAACGAUUGUGACCACGAGAGCAAGUUAAGUAAAGAAGACUGAUGCUAAACAACAAAAACAAUUGCUAUAAGAAAUAAGUCUUUUAACAAAUGAAAUUAGUAACCGAGAAAAGUUGGUCAUUUGUGAUUGAAAUAAUAUUGAAUAUUGAAUGAUAUUUGCCGCAAACCUAUUACCAGAUAGAAAUAGCGAUUGAAAAUUAAAUUUUAGUCACUAAUUAAUUGACGGUUUUUUAUAUCAAAUGAAAAUAAAGUUUUAGUGAUUGAAUUUUCAACUAAUAGAAAUCUUGUAUUAGUGAUCGAAAAUUCGAUAGUCACUAAAUAUGUAUAACAUGAUAGUUAGCGACAAAAGGUUUUUGUUGUUAAAUAUAGUGUUUUUAGUUAUUACAUUAGCGAACAAGUUAAAUAUUAAUUUAGUGGCAAAAACAUUUUUUUUUGCUAAAUAUGUAUAUUUUGGUAAUUAGUGGUUGAAAAAUUUGAAUUUUUCGUGACCGAAUUAGCGAUAAAAAAUUUUGUUUAUCACUAAAUAAUUUUAAGUUUUAAUUAGUUACCGAUGACCAAAUAAAUUUUUAAUGAUAUUGAUUUGUUUAGAAACAGAAGAUGCUAUAAAGUCUUCUUCUCUACAGAAAUACUUUCAUAUUAUGUAAUGAACAUAUUUAAAUAUACGAUCAUUUGAAAACUAUAAAUAUUCAUAUUACAUGUUAAUUAUGCCUUAAUUUGUUACAAUUCAUUUAACAUGCAUUUAUGAAUGUAAUAUUCUCUUAAUUAUGUCUCAUAUUUUAAUUUGGACAUAAGAUCAGAAAUCCUUAUUUAGAGAAAUAAAUAUAAAUUUACUAUAUUCUUUGGAUUGUUUACUAUAUUUUUCUAAUCAUAGGCCCUAGACCGUUAUCUCUCUAUUUUACGAGCUGAUUCUGGAAUACAAUGAAAUGGAAACAUAGAAUAAGAAUAUUAAAUCUAUUUACAAAUGAAUUUAAUAUUGCAUCCAACUCAAUAUCUUAAAGCAUUAAAUGCGAGUCAUUUUUCUUCCAUAUAUACGGUUCAAUUUUAGUAUUUUUUUUUAAGAAUUCCGAUAUCUUAACCAUUUUUUAUAACAAUAUUUUAUAAUAGACUACAUGUUCCUAAUUUAUCAGUCUGUUUAUAAAUUAUUGGACUAAUCACAACCUACAACUUAAGAUAUUGUAAAAAAAUUAUAAAACAAAAAUUGGUAAAAAAAUAUUCUUCUUUUUUUAAUAACUUGCCAUGUAUUUUAUUGAUAUUUGUAAAAACUUAAAUGUGAAUAGAUAUGAUAUGUUAAGGUUUCGUGUAUACCUACUUAACCAAUUGAUGUUACAAUAAAUGUUCAUAUAGUAAGACAGCUAAAAAAGACAAUAAUUAAUACCUAAUAGAUAUUUAAAAGUGUCCAUCAUCAUCUAAAUAAAAAGGAAAAAAUUGUCUUUAACAACUUUUUUUUGACAAUUUUUUUUAUAACGCAUACGUGACAGUUUGUGAUUGGUCUGUUUCAAAUAUUUUUUUAGAAUAAAUUCAAACAGGCCAAUAGAAUUGUAACACGUAUCCUGUUGUCAAAAAGUUGUUAAAAAAAAUUGUUAAAAUAUCAUUGUCCAAAUAAAAAAGAAAAAAUAAUAAUAAAUUUACAAGAGCUUAGACAAAGAGUUUAAAAAAGGUGUUUGCCAAAAAAUAAAAUAAAAUAAUCUAAAUUUCAUUAUACGAAGACAAAAGAAAACGAGGGAUAUGCAUAUAUUCAAAAUAUUUGAAAUUGAAAAUAAGUGGGAUUAUAAUAGAGAAGAACUAUAGUCCAGUCAACUCAAAUAAAAAAUGAGAUUAAAUUCUAAUUGGUGCAAAAUCAACAAUUUUAAAUAUACACUGAUAAUUUUGAAUGAGAUAACACUAUAAGAAAAAUAUAUAUUAGAGUUGGUAAAAACUAACGCAAAAGUAGAGAAAUAAAUACUAAUAAUACUUAUUUUAAAUAAAAAGUACUUCAACCAAAUUCAAUAUAAAACUAAAAACGUUAUAAUGGAUAAAAGAGAUGAAAAAAGUGUAGAUGAAUAUAAAUAAAAGAUAUGUUUGUUGAUGAAGAAAAUGUAUUUGAAUAAAAAAUAUGAACAUGUAAAGAUUUAUAUAAAAAAUAAAAACCUAUAAGCAAAGAUAUUAUCUUAAACUUAAAUAUUAAGACAAAAAGUAAUAUAUUAUUCAUAUUUCUUUAUUAUGAAAGUUUACAUAUUUGUGAGCUUAAAUUUAAACAAUAUAAAUUUAAAUAAGUAUUAAAAAUAUAUCAUAUUAAUAUUGAUUUAAUUCACACUAUUUUAAAUAAAUCAUAAAAAGAAACAAAGUUGGUGUAUAUUUAUGAGAAUAUAUAACAUCUAAACGAAAGAUAUAGUAUAUCAUAUGCAAUCAAGAGAAAUAAAGAAAAAUAAACGAUAUUAUUAGAUUAAUAUUUAAAUUAAUGAGCUAUUCAUUACCCUUAAAAAAGCACAUUGUAUACAGAUGAUAGAGUUUUCAAAACGUCAUUUUCCAAUGCAUCAUCGCCCAUUUUCUUUAUAACAUUAUCUUUUUCAGUCGUAUUUGUCAACAAAGUAGGGCAAUGUUACAUCAAAAUAUUUAACCAUAUUUUGACAUAAUAUAUUUAUAACUUUUUUCAUUAAAUUUAAAAUAAAUCAUCACAAUAACAAAUAAAUAAUAAAUUAAUAAAAAACAACGUAUAUGUUUAAUUAAUAUGUUGUAAAAAAAUAAUUUUUUUAACAAUUUUUUUACAAUAAACUAUUUUACUGGUGUGUAUAUUUAAAAUGGAUUAAUUACAAACUAUCGCAUAAAUCAUUAUAAAAAAAUUAUCAUAAAAAAGUUGUGAAAAAAACAUUUUCUAAAAAAAUUAAUGUAUGAAAAUAUUUUUUUCCUUAAAAUAUGCGAUUGUAUAGCAAAUCAAAUCCUUCGUCCUUUUCACUAACUUCUAACAACCUUCAUCAUUUAAUAAUGACUACAUAGUUCAACUAAAACAAAUAUCUAAAUGAUUCUAUAUAAGAUGUGGAAACAAAGCUACAAACAUCACAACACAACCAAAUAGCUUUUGUUUUGUUGAUUGAUGUCUAUAGCGAUGUUUUGCUAUGCAGCAGCAGCAAUUGCAGCAGUCUUCUGCAUAAUCUAUUUCUUCCAUCGGAGACUAUGUUGCAGAUACCCUCUCUUCACCGACUACCCCAUCAUCGGAAUGCUACCGGCGUUACUCUGCAAUCUGUGGCGCAUCCAUGAUUUUUCUGUUGAGGUGCUCAAAUCACAUGGGGGAACUGGUGAGUUCACUGGGCCAUGGUUUACAAACAUGAACUAUUUGAUCACCAGUGACCCCAUCAACGUGCACCAUAUUUUGAGCAAGAAUUUCAGCAACUACGUCAAGGGACCUGAGUUUCGUGAGAUCUUUCAGGCUUUCGGAGAUGGGAUAUUCACUGCUGAUGCAGAAACAUGGAAGUACAACAGGGAUCUCUUCCAGUCCCUCUUUAAAAACAGAAGCUUCGAGGUGUUUCUGGAGAAAACCAUUCGGAAGAAGGUGCAGAAUAGUCUACUUGUCGUGUUGGAUCAUGUGCAACAACAAGGGAGGGUGGUGGAUCUUCAAGAUGUCUUCAAUCGCUUCACCUUCGACAACAUAUGUUCCACAGUUCUUGGAUACGACCCUAAUUGCCUCUCCCUUGAUUUUCCAGAAGUUGCAAUCGAGAAGGCUUUUAAUGAAAUAGAGGAGUCCAUUUUCUACAGACAUGUAAUGCCAAAGCGUCUUUGGAAGCUGCAAAGAUGGCUUCAAAUUGGUCGAGAGAAGACGAUGACAGAAGCAUGCAAAUCGUUUGAUGAGUUCAUACAUGCACUCAUAGCGUCUAAGUUUGAAAAACUAAGCAAGUACAACGAAAAUAAAACAGGAGAAGCCUGUGCUGAUUUGCUGACAACUGUGAUGAGAGAGGGGAAGGAACAACACGAUGCUGGCUUUCUAAGGGAUGCUGUGUUCAAUCUUUUUGUAGCUGGGAGAGAUACCUUAACUUCAGCUCUCACAUGGUUCUUUUGGCUUGUUGCUACAAACCCUUUGGUGGAAGCGAAGAUUCUUGAAGAGAUGAAUGAAAAGAUUGGAAGAAAUGAAAAUACAGCAUCGAUUUUAACUAUAGAGGAAGUGAAAAAACUAGUUUAUCUGCAUGGUGCUAUAUGUGAAACAUUGAGACUCUUUCCUUCUAUACCUUUCGAACGCAAACAAGCCCUUGAAGCUGACGUGCUUCCUAGUGGUCAUGGUGUUAAUCCCAGAACAAUGAUAUUAUUUUCACUGUAUGCAAUGGGAAGAUUUGAGGAAAUAUGGGGAGAAGAUUGCAUGGAGUUGAAGCCAGAGAGAUGGAUUUCACAGAAAGGAGGUAUUGUUUAUGUACCAUCUUACAAAUUCGUUGCUUUUAAUGCAGGACCUAGGACAUGCUUAGGUAAAGAGUUGUCCUUUCUUCAAAUGAAGAUUGUUGCAGCUGCUAUUUUGCGCAAUUAUCAUGUCCAAGUGGUGGAAGGUUCUGUUGUUACGCCAAAUCUUUCUGUUGUUCUUCUCAUGAAGAAUGGUUUAAAGGUUAAGAUAACGAAAAGAGAAACUUAAUUUGAUGGACGUGGGAAUUUCUAUGUCAGAUCGAUGUACAAUGACUUCCAUAUGAUAUAAUGAAUCUUAUGUUGUCUACUUUCUGAGAAAAUGGAAAUGAUAAUGAAUAAAAGAAAGAAAAAUGAUAUUUUGAAACCAAUUUUUUGACAUUAUCUUGACACUGCACACGUGUCAAAAUGUGGU